rnacentral:rRNA from 1 species
ACGCUCGACACCUACGGGAGCAGCAGUGGGGAAUAUUGCACAAUGGGGGAAACCCUGAUGCAGCGACGCCGCGUGAGGGAAGAAGGUUUUCGGAUUGUAAACCUCUGUCCUUGGUGAAGAAGGAAGACGGUAGCCAAGGAGGAAGCCACGGCUAACUACGUGCCAGCAGCCGCGGUAAUCUGAGCGGGCUGGCAAGGC